UUCUUGAGCCAUGGUCAAGGUUCUCUCCGUCCCAUGACGGAGAGCGAAGAGGGAAUCCGGUGCGGCGCCCCUGCGUCAAGGCCGGAGCUGUCCCCGCAACUGUAAGCGACGAGUCAUCCCUCGCUCCGCGUCACUGGUGAGGUGUCACCGGGAAGACCAGAGGGAUGGCAGCGACCCGCGAGCCAGGAGACCUGCCUUGACCGUGACAUGUCU
rnacentral:ncRNA from 2 species